UAUUAGAUAAAAUUUACUUUGUGAAUUUAUUAAUUAAUUUUUUUUGGAAAUCAUUUUUUGGUUGUUGUAUUAGUUAAAAAUUUAAUUUUUUUUGGUUAUUGUAGAUUUGUACUGUAAAGGUUUAUUGAAAUAGAAUUAAAUUAUUUUUAAAGUUGAAUUUUGAUUUGUACCUUGUGUUUCAGGGUUUAUUAAUUAUUUUAUAUUUAAUUGUAGAUUUCGAAAUUUUUAGAGUUAAUUAAUUAGAUUAAUUAUUGUUUUAACAAUAUUAAUAAUAGUUAAUUGGUAAUGAAAUGUUAUUCGUUAAUAAAGAUAUCUGGUUUUUCAGGAAAUAAAUUUAAUUUACAUUUUUUCUUUAAGGAUUUACUUUUUAGUGAAUUUUUAGUUAAAAUGAAUAUUAAGGGGGAUAAGCUUUUUAAUAAAACUUUUAUAAGUAGUUUGAUUAUGAAAUUGAUAUGGAUUUAAUAAUGAUUAUUAUUAUAAAUAUAUUAAAAUUUUAGUUUUAUUUAUUUUUUGAUUUUAUUGUACUUUAUUUUUUUACUGUAAUAUUUUAUUUAAUUUUAAAUUAAUUGUAAUUAUGAUAUGAUUAGUAUAAUUUUAUUAUUUAAUAUUUAUAUUUACUAAUAGUUAUGAGGAACUAGGCAAUAGUUUAUUCGCCUGUUUAACAAAAACAUCUUUUCUUGAUUUUUAAAUAUGAAGUAUAACCUGCCCACUGAUGAAAUUUAAUGGCCGCGGUAUAUUGACCGUGCAAAGGUAGCAUAAUCAUUAGUCUUUUAAUUAGAGGCUGGAAUGAAUGGUUGGACGAGAUAAAUACUGUCUUAUUAUUAUAAAUUUGAAUUUAAUUAUUAAGUAAGAAAGCUUAAAUUAAUUUUUGGGACGAGAAGACCCUAUAGAGUUUUAUAAUUAUAAAUUUAUUAAAUAGUAAGUUUUUAUUUAUAAUAGAAUAAUUAUUUUGUUGGGGUGAUGAAAAGAUAAAUAUAACUCUUUGUUGUUAUUAUUAUAUAUUUAUAUAUAUUUGAUCCAUUAAUAAUGAUUACAAGACUAAAUUACCUUAGGGAUAACAGCGUAAUCUUUUUUAAGAGUUCUUAUCAACAUAAGGGAUUGCGACCUCGAUGUUGGAUUAAGAUAAAUUUUUGGUGUAGAUGCUAAAAUUAUUAGGUCUGUUCGACCUUUAAAAUCUUACAUGAUCUGAGUUCAAACCGGCGUAAGCCAGGUUGGUUUCUAUCUAUUAACUUAUUAUAUGUUUUAGUACGAAAGGACCAAAUAUAAAAAAUAAUUUUUUGAUUUGAUUAAUAAUAAUUUA
rnacentral:rRNA from 1 species